GAUGAACGCUGGCGGCGUGCCUAAUACAUGCAAGUCGAGCGAACAGACGAGGAGUUUGCUCCUCUGACGUUAGCGGCGGACGGGUGAGUAACACGUGGAUAACCUACCUAUAAGACUGGGAUAACUUCGGGAAACCGGAUCUAAUACCGGAUAAUAUAUUGAACCGCAUGGUUCAAUAGUGAAAGACGGUUUUGCUGUGACUUAUAGAUGUAUCCGCGCCGCAUUAGCUAGUUGGUAAGGUAACGGCUUACCAAGGCUACGAUGCGUAGCCGACCUGAGAGGGUGAUCGGCCACACUGGAACUGAGACACGGUCCAGACUCCUACGGGAGGCAGCAGUAGGGAAUCUUCCGCAAUGGGCGAAAGCCUGACGGAGCAACGCCGCGUGAGUGAUGAAGGUCUUCGGAUCGUAAAACUCUGUUAUUAGGGAAGAACAAAUGUGUAAGUAACUAUGCACGUCUUGACGGUACCUAAACAAAAAGCCACGGCUAACUACGUG
rnacentral:rRNA from 1 species